rnacentral:lncRNA from 1 species
CGACGCAGGUCGGAAGACUGUGCAUUUGCCUAUUGCUUCAUUCCUGGAAGCUGUACUGGAACUGUGAUUAAGAAAUAAACAUCCUGAAAGAAAACAAAAGAACCCCAGAAUUCUUAACAGAACAGUGAGUACUUUAAUAACAUGGUAAUUAUAAUAGAUCUUCUGUAAAAUUAGAUCUUACAAAUGUCUUUUAUUAAAAUAUUUGCCUUUCUGUU